GGGGAUUUAGCUCAGUGGUAGAGCGCUUGCCUAGGAAGCGCAAGGCCUUGGGUUCGAUCCCCAGCUCCG
rnacentral:tRNA from 1 species